CUUAAAACGUUGCCAUGAGGCUUACAAUAUAUAGCGGGUGAAACCGACUAUUAAAACGGAAAGAGAUAAAUAUGGAAAACUAACAUAAUAAUUAGAUAAUGAUGAAAAUCUAAAACCAGUUGUGAAACUCGCAAGACUCGUGACUCGUAAGAACUCGUACGACUCGUGACUCGACUCGUAUGACCCGACUCGUCGUAUGACUCGUGACGUCCUGUCACAUCGGCUUGAGUUUCCGUGGAGAGGAAGGUAGCGGCGGCAGUGUGAGAAUAUGUGGCUGGGGGCGGCUGCGGAGAGGCGACAGAUGGAGGGGUGGAAUGGAUGGAAGACGGUGUGUUGCUCAUCGGACUUGGCAUCUGGGUAGGAGUUGAACGGAUGGAAGACGGUGUGUAGCUCAUCGGACUCGGCGAGGAAGAAACUCCAGAUCUUACGGAGACCGGAGGGGAAGCGUCCAUAAGACUGGGGGAGGAAGAAGAUCCCGAUCCUACGGAGACUGGGGGAGAUGCCUCCAUGGGACUGGGAGAGCUUUGGGAACCUUUGACUGAUCGACUCAUUUCCACAGUUUCUAGUCCGCGUUACUUGCUUUGGCAUCUGAUCGAUUGAAACACCUUGCUUCCCCCCUACUGGCAAUUUAGGCUUGUGCCUAACUCUUAUUGUUGGCUGCUGUUCUUCAUUGUAUUACUACAUUGUUGUUUAGUCGUCUAAUAGAUUCCUUUGGACUGAAUCAGAACAACAGACACUAUAGAGAUGGCUUGUUAGAUGGAGAGAGACAAGCAGCGUGGAUAUUGAGUAUGUAUCUGAAAACAAUUCUCAGGCAAGACAUUAUUUGGAUGCUUCGGUGUGGAGACAAACACAGGGUAGGUUGUUGGUAGAAUGUCUCUAGAUACUGUUAUUUUAAGAUGAUCAAAAUUUUAGUUACUUUUAUUCUUAAAACAUAGAAUACAUUUGAAAACUUUAAUAUUUUUAUUUUUAUUUUAGACAUUUUUGAAGUUUUGUUUGAAAAUUAUUAAUAUUUUUUAAUUAAAGUGAGAAUAGUUUGAAUACUAAAAUGAGUAUGGUUUUAUAAAAAUUAACUGUAUUAAAAGGAGAAAAUUUAAA